GGAAUUAAUGAGAGAAAAUUUAUGGUCCUUAUAGCGCAAGAAUGUGUGUGACAACGUGUUGAAUGUUUAUCCACACAAAAUCCAAAAGGAUUCAAGGAUCUUCAACUUCGUCAGUGCCUCUCAUCACUUCUAAAAACACUUUGCUUUCCUUUCUUACUUACUCCAAAUCCGACGUUCGUAGAAAAAGACCAAGUUAACUACCUACGUGCCGCCGUCACCAUCAUGUCACAGCCUCAUUUCCUCCUGGUGACCUACCCUGCACAAGGCCACAUAAACCCAACCUUACAAUUUGCCAGGCAUCUUAUACGUAUUGGCGUACGUGUAACUUUCAUCACCUGCAUCUCCGCUCGCCGCCGCAUGACCAAAGUCCCCACUGCUCAAGGCCUAACGUUUUUACCCUUUUCCGAUGGCUACGACGACGGUUUUCAACCCGGCGAUGACGUGGACCAUUACCGAUCUGAAUUUACGCGACGAGGCAAAGAAGC
rnacentral:lncRNA from 1 species